UACGGGGGGAGCAAGCGUUGUUCGGAUUUACUGGGCGUAAAGGGCGCGUAGGCGGCGCAACAAGUCACUUGUGAAAUCUCCGGGCUUAACCCGGAGCGGUCAAGUGAUACUGUCGUGCUAGAGUGCGGAAGGGGCUACUGGAAUUCUCGGUGUAGCGGUGAAAUGCGUAGAUAUCGAGAGGGAACACCUGGCGGCGAAGGCGGGUAGCUGGGCCGACACUGACGGCUGAU
rnacentral:rRNA from 1 species